GAAUCUUUCGCAAUGGGCGAAAGCCUGACGAAGCGACGCCGUGUGAGCGAAGAAGGCCUUCGGGUUGUAAAGCUCUUUCGCUAGGGAACAAGGGAAUAUGGUUAAUAACCAUGUGACUUGAUGGUACUUGGUAAAGAAGCACCGGCUAACUCCGUGCCAGCAGCUGCGGUAAUACGGAGGGUGCAAGCAUUGAUCGGAAUUACUGGGCGUAAAGGGCGCGUAGGCGGCUCUAAAAGUCGAUUGUGAAAUUCCAGGGCUCAACCCUGGAGCUGCAAAUGAAACUUUAGAGCUAAGAGGAGAGCAAGGGAAAACAGAAUUCCACGUGUAGCGGUGAAAUGCGUAGAUAUGUGGAAGAAUACCGGUGGUGAAGACGGUUUUCUGAGCUUAAUCCAGACGCUGAGGCGCGAAAGCUAGGGGAGCAAAC
rnacentral:rRNA from 1 species